rnacentral:lncRNA from 1 species
AGGGUGGCCUGAAGACUGAGGAGGGGCAGGUCAGGUGCCCAGUCCAGAGAGGAGGAGUUGAAGAUGACAAGCUUUAUGGUCUUGGUCUCCCGAGGAAGUUAAAGAACCAAGGGCAGGAGUGGUUCCUCUUGGCCUCCUGGUGUUGAGAGCCAGGUGGGAAGCCGCACCCCACCUCCCCCCAACUCACUUGGGACUGGAUCCACCCUGAGGAGCCUCGGGUCAACAUCCUGUUUCCGGCAAGCCCUCCUGGAGGCCACACAGAGGGGUGUUUGUUCGUAGUGGGCGACGGGAGAGAUGCUAAUCACGUUGGAUAGCUGGUCCCAGCUGAAGGUCAGGAGGAUCCAUCAUUUACCUACCAAGAUAACUACCUUACUUACCAUAAACGUGAACGAUGCAGGCGGCUAGAGGGCUCGCUCGGUAGCUAAAAGUGAUUGCUACACAGGGGCAGCAAUCUGAAUUCAGUCCCCAGGAGCCAUGGAAAGCAGGAAGGAGAUGACCAGCUGCGUGGUUAGCUUCUGACUUCCCCACACGUGCUGUGACCCACACCCACACCAAUAAAUAUAUUUCUACUUUA